rnacentral:antisense_RNA from 1 species
CUCCUUGAAAAACUUGAAAUAUAGUAAAAAGAAGUAGAAUGGAGUCGCUGUCAAUUGGUUCAUACAUAAUGUUUUGGUUAGAGUCAUUGAAUAAAUUUGAAGUUUCAGAGAUGAUUGAUUUCAUUUCAAGAAUGUACUGAGUUGGGUUAGAUAGAAAUCUUGCAAUAUAUCCAAAAUCUUCAGAGUAAAUUGCAUUGUAAAAUGAAAGUGCAUGAUACAAAGAAAUUUCGACAAUAUUUGUAUCAGCUUCAAUUUUCUCUGUAGAGUAGAAUCCUCUUCCAUGAGUAGGAUGAGUUCCUACUCCGAGUUUUCUAAGUAUAAUAGGAUACUUUGUUUGUUCUCCCCCAGAAAGGCUUUGAAUAAUAUCGUCUAAAUAUGUUGAAUCAACAUCAAUAUCUAAAUUGGAAACAUCUUGUAGAGAAGGUUUGCAAAUAUUUUCUAAGGAUGACAUAACAAAGGAAAGGCACUGGUUUAAUAGAUAUUGAUAGUUAUCCAUAUGAAAAUUAGAGUUCUCAGCAUUUUGGGUAACUUGGGAAAUUUCAUCCUUAAUUAUGCUUUUCAGAACAAGUAGUGCCUUAAUCAUUACAAUGGGGUUAUAAGAUGGAAUAUUAGUAAUCUUAUGAGUGUAAAUCUCAAAUAAAGACUCUGGAGAAUCAACCUGAAACUUUCCUGAAUUGAAUUUUGAAAUGUACUCAUCUCUACUAUAUGCUAAUGCUAAAUAUGUAUCUUUAAAUGUCAUGCUUGAAAUAUACAUAGAAUGAAUUAACUUGACUAGCUUCUCAAAGAUUUUCUUUAAAUUAUCUUGAGUUUUCAAGUCCUCUCCCAAUUCCUCCUUUAACCAUAGAGUUACGUAUGUUCCUGGCAAUCCCCAUUCCUCCAAUAACUUUUUCCUAUUGUUCACAAGAGACUCAUCUGCAUCCAAUUCAACUGGUAAUUUUACUACGAAGUCCAUAUUAGUACAUUAUAUACAAUUAGAUAACAGAAAUUGUUUCAAAAAAUGAGUUUACUUAAAGAAAUUUACUAAUAUUGGCAAUCCUUUGGUAUUCAAUGAAUUUGUAAAUUCAAGACUAUUCUAUUUGAAUUUGGCGCCAUCUAAAUUUAACGGAUCAUUUUAAAUUACUUACAACAAGAAGAAAGUACACCUGAAAUUAAACCACCAUCUCCAUGCUGGUUUAAGUAGAUAUUCUGGGAAUUAAUGGGUUUGGAUGAAGUUUCGCCAUUCUUCAGCUUUUUCUCUAGAAGUUUUCUUGCUAUGUUUACAAAGCAUUCUUCGACAUUAGUAGAAUUUUUGGCGCUCGAUUCCAUGAAAUCAACUUGAAGCUCUUGAGCUUUUUUUUGUCCGGUAGCAAAGUCAACCAUCUUCUGUGAGGUUAAAUCGCACUUGUUUCCAAUAAGGAUUUUUGUGGAGUCGGUUGUAUAACG